rnacentral:lncRNA from 1 species
AUACUAACUAGUCCUAAAAAUGGUUCAUAGUCUCAAAGACACCAAUUUGAUGCAUUGAACUCUCGCGCUCGUUAACUUAUUAUUGAAUUUUAAAAUAUGUGGGGGAUUGUUGGAAUAUUUCAAAAUUCCGAGUCUGCCCUUCUUUGUCUUUUGUGUUUUUGUCUAGUGUACUUUCUUUAGUCCCACAUUGGAAAGGAAUAAAACUCAAAAGAUCUUUAUAUAGUAUUCAACCUUUUAACUUGGUGAAGCAAAGAAAGAAAGUAGCCCACGCGCGCAUGAGCCCAAUGGAGGUCCAAGCCAAAAUUGGCGAAUCCGAUC